rnacentral:lncRNA from 1 species
UCAAACUCUAACAAGCUAACAAAAUUAAAAAGAUUGCAACUUUAAGGAAUUCAAGAAAAAAAAUCAACACCCCAUCAAACCCCUCAAACUCUAACAAGCUAAAAAAGUUAAAAAGAUUGCAACUUCAAGGAAUUCAAGAAAAAAAAUCAACACCCCAUCAAACCCCUCAUACUCUAACAACCUAAAAAAAGUUUAAAAAAAGACUUCAACUUUAAGAAAUUCAAGAAAAAAAAUCAACAGCCCAAUAGUUGCAUGGUCUCUUUUUUGAGUGAACAAAGUAAGGAAAAAGGGCAAAUGCAACACCAACAAAAGAAUGAAAAGGUUCAAGAAAAGUAUCAGAUUUUUUGCUUAGACUUGUCUGUCACUCAAUUUUCUCUUUCCUUUACUUGAAAUCCCUAUUUCUCUCUGCUUUAAAUGGAAUUAAAUCCUAGUAAAUAACGCCCUUAAAGAACCAAAAAAAAAGAGGCCUUGAAAAAAGGAGAAAAUAUGGAAUGAAAGAUUAUUGAAACAAAG